ACCUACGGGGGGCAGCAGUGAGGAAUAUUGGUCAAUGGUCGGGAGACUGAACCAGCCAAGCCGCGUGAGGGAGGAAGGUACAGAGUAUCGUAAACCUCUUUUGUCAGGGAACAAAGGCGGGACGUGUCCCCGGAUGAGUGUACCUGAAGAAAAAGCAUCGGCUAACUCCGUGCCAGCAGCCGCGGUAAUACGGAGGAUGCGAGCGUUAUCCGGAUUUAUUGGGUUUAAAGGGUGCGCAGGCGGUCUGUUAAGUCAGCGGUCAAAGCCCGGGGCUCAACCCCGGCCCGCCGUUGAAACUGGCAGUC
rnacentral:rRNA from 1 species